rnacentral:miRNA from 10 species
GAGACACGGGCCUGGGACUCCUGUGCCUACUGAGCUGAUUAUCAGUCCUACAGAACCACUGGCUCAGUUCAGCAGGAACAGGAGUCAGGCCUGCUCCUCACCGACCCUG